rnacentral:snRNA from 1 species
AGCUAUUACAGCUCUUUUAGAAGUUUUUUUUAAAGCAGGCUUUCAUAUUUUGGUUAAAAAUCCCAA